GGUGGUUCUCAUGUGAUGCACCCCAGAAUUGGGCUCCCUCCUCUCUGGUUCCGGGUGUGUCACUGAGAACUGCA
rfam:Myotis davidii contig94242, whole genome shotgun sequence.